AGGGGGGGAAGCCUCUUUAGCAAUGAAACAAGCAUUGUUCCUUGCAUCCCGCCCCCCCUCCGGGCCAGCCAGCCAAAAUUUCAUAGUAGGCCUCCCCAUUGGCUGCCCCGCCUGCCACUCAGCCUCAUGUAAACACUUUGGCCCGCCGCCAUCCUUAUAAAGCCAAUUAUGGACCGAGAGGGGAGAGAGAGAGGGGAGGGGAAGUUUCAAGGCUCCCCGGCGGGGCGGGCUGAAUGGGCGAAGCGGGCGGUGAGAAUUCAGAGAGGCGGUUUCAAGGGAGGAAAGCAAUCGCAGCAUCGGCGGCCCGAGCCUAGGCAUGUUUACUCAGGUGUAAGCUUCCGCCAUCUACCCCCCAAACACUCCUCCGCAGCGGAUUAAAAUCGCCCACCCCGCAAAGCUACCCGAAGGAAAGAGAUCUGGAAGCAGCAUUUGCUUGGAACGGAUAUUUAUUCUGCGUGUGUGAAUUUAGAUUGUAUUUGCAAUAAUAAAAAACAUUAA